UUCGCGUUUAUGUGUUGGCCCCCAUAGUUGGCAACCCCUCAGCGAAUGUGUCGGAAAACCUUUUUUUUUUUUAAGUGAAACUGCUUCAUUCAGAGUUUUUACCCAUUUAAAUCACCAGGUCAGAGACCUCUGUGGACUAUUUUGGCUCCCAGUAAGAAUCUCCUGAACGCCUGGAUCUUAAAUUAUCAGAGAAAAAAGGUGAGCACAGAUUAGCAGGAACUAGGCUAGUGGUCCAUCUCCGACACUGAUUCAUUACGCGUAACUGCUUCAUUCAGUAUUUUCCCACUUUAAAUCAUCUGAUCAGUUUGUUUUGGGGAGGAAGAGACCUCUGCGGAUAAUUCAGCUCCUGGUAAAAAAAACUUCUGAAUGUCUGGAUCAGAGAAAAACAUGAGCACGCAUUUGCAAGCACUGGGCUAGCAGCCUGUCUGCGACGAGCCGAACAGCAUCAGAGAAACUCUAAUUUGUAACGUGAAACUGCUUUAUUCUGUGUUUUUACCGGUUUUAAUCACCUCAUCUGUUUGUUUUGGAGAGGAAGAGACCUCUGUGGAUAAUUCGGCUCCUGGUAAAAACCUCCUGAACUUUUGGAUCGUAAGUUAUCAGAUAAAAAAAGUGAGAGAAGAUUAGCAGGAGCUGGGCUAGCAGCCUGUCUCUGACAUGCCGAACUGUGUCAGAGAAACACUAAUUUGUAAUGUGAAACUGCUUUAUUCAGUGUUUUUACCAGUUUUAAUCACCUCAUCUGUUUGUUCUGAUGAGGAGGAGACCUCUGUCAAUAAUUCAGCUCCGGGUAAAAACCUCCUGAACUUCUGGAUCUUAAGUUAUCAGAGAACAAAGAGGAACAGUCCUCUGCGGAUAAUUCGGCUCCUGGUAAAAACGUCCUGAACAAUGAACACUGAAGGAAUUACAGACUGUGCUAGUCAUGAUGCCAUCCAGUCCUGCUCCCUGCUAGCACAUGCUCAGAGAUGCACCAAGGUAAGAGCCAAUCCCAGUUAUGUAUCUGACACUCUGCAGAUAAAUGAAUAUAUAACUUGUAGACGGGGGAUAUUCUGAAUGCAUGUAAGUAGAUGUGUCCCUGUGUUGCUGUUGGUGUCCCACCAUGGAAAAUUCAACAAUGCUGCAGUAACAAAACAUGAUAAAAACGUGACAAAUCAACAUGAAGAUACUGUUGAAUCUGUUCAGGGGAAAUUAAGUUG